rnacentral:rRNA from 1 species
CCCCUCCUUCAAGCAAGCUUGAAGGAGUUCUUCUUCCGCCGGAGGCGGGGAAGGACUUCAAGCAAGCUGAGCUUGCUUGAUGGAGGGGAGCGGCAGACGGGUGAGUAACGCGUGGGAAUGUACCCUUUGCUACGGAAUAGCUCCGGGAAACUGGAAUUAAUACCGUAUGUGCCCUUUUGGGGAAAGAUUUAUCGGCAAGGGAUCAGCCCGCGUUGGAUUAGCUAGUUGGUGGGGUAAUGGCCUACCAAGGCGACGAUCCAUAGCUGGUCUGAGAGGAUGAUCAGCCACAUUGGGACUGAGACACGGCCCAAACUCCUACGGGAGGCAGCAGUGGGGAAUAUUGGACAAUGGGCGCAAGCCUGAUCCAGCCAUGCCGCGUGAGUGAUGAAGGCCCUAGGGUUGUAAAGCUCUUUCACCGGUGAAGAUAAUGACGGUAACCGGAGA